ACCACCGAGUCUGUAUCACCGCUGCAUAUGAUAGUGUAAACCACAGUUUGGUUAGUAGCCAAAUCCCAAAAUAGGUUUAGGUUCGAUCCUGAUUUGGCUCUGUGGUUUAUAUGUUGAUCCACGGUUAGGAAUCCGCCUAUGUCUAUGAUCCCGAGUUACAUUGGACCAUAGUUUACCUGAAAAUCCAGAUCCUCAAACCG